rnacentral:rRNA from 2 species
CGACGCCUGUACGGGGCGCAGCAGGCGCGAAAACUUUGCAAUGUGCGAAAGCACGACAAGGUUAAUCCGAGUGGUUUGUGCUAAACGAACCUUUUGACAGUCCUAGAAACACUGUUGAAUAAGGGGUGGGCAAGUUCUGGUGUCAGCCGCCGCGGUAAAACCAGCACCUCAAGUGGUCAGGAUGAUUAUUGGGCCUAAAGCAUCCGUAGCCGGCUCUGUAAGUUUUCGGUUAAAUCUGUACGCUCAACGUACAGGCUGCCGGGAAUACUGCAGAGCUAGGGAGUGGGAGAGGUAGACGGUACUCGGUAGGAAGGGGUAAAAUCCUUUGAUCUAUUGAUGACCACCUGUGGCGAAGGCGGUCUACCAGAACACGUCCGACGGUGAGGGAUGAAAGCUGGGGGAGCAAACCGGAUUAGAUACCCGGGUAGUCCCAGCUGUAAACUAUGCAAACUCAGUGAUGCAUUGGCUUGUGGCCAAUGCAGUGCUGCAGGGAAGCCGUUAAGUUUGCCGCCUGGGAAGUACGUACGCAAGUAGAAACUAA